UCAUACCAUUACCUUUUAUUCAAACCGCACUACAGUUUCAAGGCUAUCUGUUGAGCAGUUGGAUGUCUGGAAAAAUCCUGCAAGCUGUGUUGACUUUAUACCACGUUAAAAAAGGAGACUAUUCUUUCUGAUGGCUGAUCAAAUACAAGAUGCUUGGACAGCCUGCAGUGGGGGAGUCAGUGGAAGAAAAACAAGGCAAAAUCUAAAAUACACAUAUUUUAUACAAGGUACAGUAGAAGAGACAACAGUGUACUGUACUGUGAACUGAGGGUACUUGCAUGCAUUCGCCAAGUUGAAUGAACACAAUAUUUUCCAUGUGGGUUCUGGUUUGUUCUUGUAUUUUUAUUUUUAGCUGUUUAAGUUUGUUGCACAGCUGAUCAAGUCUAAACUACUAAACCCUGUUCCUGCAAAGACCUUCUUUCAAACAGCUCCAUUUUUAGCUUCUCUUACAAAUAUCUUCUCCCAAACAGCAUUGAUAUUAGUGAUUUCACAGAUUUUUUCUGCACUUUGUAUCACUCUGUGUGACUUCAGGAGUAACUAAAUUCUUUGCAAAUUUAACUAAUGUAUUACUUCUCUAUGCUUCAUUACUCUUCUCACCUAAUGUGCCCUGCCUCUCGUUUGGUAUUUUUGUCAAUUAACCCCACUCUGAUAUUUUUUUUUCUACUUUCUACUUGAAGUGUUAUCAGUGGUCUUUAAACUGUGAUUAUGAAGUUUUUAGCCAAAAUUGCAUUACCUGUGUCUUUUUCUAAGGGCUUGUCUUCUGCAGAGCUUCAGUAGCUCAUUAGCAAUUCACCUCUGAGUCGUGGGCAGAGACAGCGCUGCUCUUUACACUCCUCUUAACACUAGCUACUACUAGGAUUUAUGACCUAUACUGCAGCCCGUCACCAGAGGGUGCUGUUCUCACAGUGGCUUCACCCAGUGAGAGGGCAGAUGGCGUUCAUUCAAUAUACAGUCUAUGGUCCUGACCUUUUGGUCUUGACUCAGGCUGUGUCUCAUUUCAGAGACCGAAUCGGGAUAAGCGCGCUUAACGGCGCUUAGCUGAGUGCACUGCCGUUUUGUGCCGUUAUGUGCCGUUUUGCGCCGUUAUGUACCCUUCCUGUGUACCUGUGCGCGCUUAGCAUUUCUUAGCAUCUCGUGCCAAAUGGGACACCGUUCGCGCCGUCGUGACGUCAUGCACGCUUCAAAUGCACCGUUCGACGGUGCAGAAGUGCACUUAGCCCGAUGCGGUCUCUGAAAUGAGACACAGGCUCAGUCUCAAUCACUUGAAGUCUUGGUCCUGAUGCCUCCUGGUCUCGGACAUGUCUUGGUCUUGGUUACUGUGGUCUUGACUCACACAUAAACUGUUAUAUGAAAUCCUCUUUAGAGGUUUUUUUUCUUUUUUUUUCCCCAAAAGUUUAGGCUGUAAGGAUGAAAUGGAAAACUUUGGUGCAGCUUGUUAGUUUGACCUGAUCUGUCAAAUAAUACUGUCUUCACACCUGGUUCACUGUCUAGACCUGCCCACAUGGUUGGUUUGAACUAGUUUGAUUCAGCCUUGAGCUCCUCUGAAAAAGGAUCUUAACCGUAGACCCACGCACUCAAGACUACAAAGGAAAGUUUUGUUUCAUCUGUUUUCGGUCUCUCACUCAGCAGACUGCAAAGCACUGUGUGUGACCCUCCUUGCAAAGAUAAAAACUCAUUUAAGACGUUUCCUCUGGUGUUAAAGUUUCUUUGUUUAAGAUCUCACCAAUGUAAAAUUUCUGUAACAAUGAAAAAAGCAGGGUCUGAACCUCAGCACAUGUAGUAUGAGUAGGGGAGUUGAAAUACAUUGUUAUGUUGCACUAAGAUGCAGAUGUGGGCAGUUCUCCAGCAAUGCAGUGACAGAUGACAAUCAAUGACUGCAUUGUGUGGGCAUCAGUGUACAGGGCUUUAUUUUUGUGUCAGUCCACCCCACUAAGCAGACACUCAGACAACAGAGGAGUGGCAGAUUGACAGAGGUAUUUUUAUCUUCUAGUAACACAACUAAUAGAGAAAAUAAUUACCUGCAUGUUGCCCUCUGACAGUUACUCACCAAACACCGGAAGCCAUAUGAACCACUGUGUACCAUGUCUGUAUAAUGAUGAGUGGGACCUGUUGGUGCCUGACAUCAUUGGUGGUGAUAUGUGAACCACACAGAGCUGAACAUUCAACUCUGUGUGACCUCGUCAGAUGAUUGGUAAUAACAGUCUGAGUCUGUCAGUGCUGAAAUAAAACACUUGGAGUGGACACAGUUUGAUUAUUGUCAAACUAUGUUUUUGUUUUGUUUGUUAAAAAGAAGAAGAGCAGCUGUGGAGGGAUGUAUUUGAAAAUGUUCUUGAUUCCUUCUAUACCACCUUUUCUUCGCCCGGGUGGCUUAACCUAGACUCAGAGACGGAUCUCUAUGCUUUGCUCAGAUGUUACACGCUCCAUAUCCAGUCACAGCUGCAUCAAUUCCAAAGAGUAUGGAAAAACCACUCCUUCAGAUCAGAUCAGAUCUGGUUGGGCAAAGAAUAAGAGGGGGGCUACAGUUAAUACUUGUCAGAAAAAUGUUUAAAAUGUGGUAAAAAUAUUAAAUAUAUCAUUAUUUUUUAAAAGUUUAUAAAAAUAUGUAAUUGUACUAGAAAGAAAAAAACUGGCACUUUCACACCAAAUAACUCAGGCGGAUGGCCAAUUCAGAGUUGACUGUAGGGGGUCACAGAGACCUGUGACCGAUGAAGUUCACAUGCCUGAGUUGGCGCUGCCCCACGCUCUGACUGCAGCAGAAAUGGCAAUGCUGCCAAAUCCAACCGUACCAUUUUCAGGGACAGUACAAAUAUACUUAAGACAGCAAGCAUUCAUUUAAAAAAUACUGGAAAGUCUAGUUUAAUAUUAUGUUGUGGAAAUUUCUGCUUAAAUUUAAUGAACCAAUGGUAAAAGGGUUUCACAAAUAAGAGUAUUAGUGAGUACAAUUUUACAAUAAAAUGACUGAAAUUAGCAUUGUUCCUCUGUAAUGAAAACUGAGUUUAGUGGUGAGUAUUUCAAAUGAAUUUUCUUUUCCUACAGCAACUUCGAAGUGUUUUAGAAGACCCCUGCUGCCAUGCUCUCUAGUUUCAGACUCAGUCCUGUAUGUUUUUAGGUACCCAGGGAUGGCAUGUGGGUGGAGCUUGGAGGGGUCGUGUAUUUCACCUGCUUUCUAGCGCAGAGUAUUGUGAAGAACAUUCGUUGGAUUAUCACCCAUAUCAGUCUCUGCAAGGGCUUGAUUGCUUGUAGGUUAAAUUCCUGUUUUUGUUUGGUUGGAUCAGAGAACCUCUGGGUUGCAGGGCCUCAGCCAUGAGGGGCACUAUACAAGAGGAAGUCAGGGGUGGGAGAGGGUCGAUGAGUGAUAUGGGUUUUUGGGAAAAUGAAAUCGAGCUGUCAUGUUGAAAACAGCAAAAUCCUUGGAGGUAUGUAGAGUUAUCUAUAAAGUGAAGGGUCAAAAUGCUGGAGGAUUGAGAGUUGUGAACCCGUUGAAAGUGUCAGACUCUUUGAAGUGUGUUGGGGAUGGAUGAACAUGCUCUUCCCAGUGGGGUGCUUUUAGCGGUCUGUAAAGAUGAGGAUCCACGAGGAAAAAUGCAGGAAGUGCACUUUUCCUGACAGGGUGGAAAUCCCAACUCCCCAGUGCUGACAACUUUUGGUUGAAGUGUACUCCCAGCAUGGGCAUCUAUCGUACCGGUCAAGCAGUUUUGAAGACCUUUAUUGUGGUGCUUCAAAUGCUAAAAGUAUUAACAUGAGACUAUAUCAUGCAGGGGAUCAUGAUGUUGUCUCUGAGGUGGCAACUCCUUAGUGUUGUAGCAUGGAGGGAGUCAUAGGGAGGAUUUCGAUUUUGAAAAUCAUAUUUAGAUUUUGUUGAUGAGGUUUGCUUAACUAUGUUAACACCAUCAAGAUGCUAUAUUCAUCUCCCACCAUGCCCUCUGUCAGUGUGACACCUAAGGAGACUUUAUUGGAGCUUUUUGUAAUUUUCAUUUGUUGGCUUUAGCAGGUUUGCAUGGUGUAAAAUGUAUCUCCUUAUAACUUGUAUUUGUACAAACUUUAAAAAAGGUUAUUCUCAAUGGUUUCUCUAAGAUAUCAAUAAGAGCACUGGGGAUGAGAUCAGAUCUGGUAUAAAACUCACAGUCAAGAGGUGAGUCAAUAAAAUGUUCUGUUGCCUCUGGGAAUUGGGAGGAAAAACAGGUUUACUUAUUACUUUAAAUUUUGUGACCACAAACAUAGCCCUGCAGAAAAAAAGGUUUGAGAGGAUUAUUGAGAAUUUGCUGCCCAUGAAAAGAUAUGUAUCUUCCUCCAUCACAUAAAACAUCCUGCUGUGAACCUCUGAUUACGAGAAAAUACAGUGGUUGGGUCUUUUAGAUCCUCUGUUCAUUUCUGUUUACAUUUAUCUUUGCUCAAGCAAAGAAAUAUUCUUGUUAAGGAAACUAAUUUUUUUGUGAAUGAUUUUCAGAAAGAACUCCACCUGCAG
rnacentral:lncRNA from 1 species